CCAGACUCCUACGGGAGGCAGCAGUGAGGAAUAUUGGUCAAUGGGCGGGAGCCUGAACCAGCCAAGCCGCGUGAAGGAAGAAGGCGCCAGGCGUCGUAAACUUCUUUUGUCGGGGAACAAAGGGCGCCACGUGUGGCGUUGUGAGUGUACCCGAAGAAAAAGCAUCGGCUAACUCCGUGCCAGCAGCCGCGGUAAUACGGAGGAUGCGAGCGUUAUCCGGAUUUAUUGGGUUUAAAGGGUGCGCAGGCGGAAUGUCAAGUCAGCGGUAAAAUUUCGGGGCUCAACCCCGUCGUGCCGUUGAAACUGGCGUUCUUGAGUGAGCGAGAAGUAUGCGGAAUGCGUGGUGUAGCGGUGAAAUGCAUAGAUAUCGCGCAGAACUCCGAUUGCGAAGGCAGCAUGCCGGCUCCACACUGACGCUGAGGCACGAAAGCGUGGGUAUCGAACAGGAUUAGAUACCCCUGUACCU
rnacentral:rRNA from 1 species